rnacentral:lncRNA from 1 species
UAAAGGUGAGGAGAUAUCUUUGCGCCUUAGAACUGAUGACCUGAAGGGAUUCAGAAAAUACCAAAGCAUUAAAAAGACUCUUUUACAUGAACUUGUAAGCAUCUUUAUCAAUUCAAGCUUCCAUUUUUUAUAAAAGGGUGCUUUCUUUUUUACUAAAAAACUCUUCUUUCUUUCAGGCUCAUAUGGUUUUCUCUGAACAUGAUGCUAAAUUCUAUGCUCUUGAUAAACAGGUAACAACAAAAAAAAAAAAUCAAACUUUGAAUCAAAAUUCAAAACCCUUUUUGCUAAUCUUGUUUCACUAUGAACAGCUCAACCUUGAGGCCAAUUCUCUAGACUGGACAAGAUCCACGGGUCACACCUUAAGUGGGUCCCACACAAAUCAACAAUAUGAACCAAAUUUCCAUGUUGAAAAUCAUAAAUUUUCCCAUAAACUUGGAGGAAACUCAUCAAACAGUUCAUUAGCAAGUGCUCGAGCAUCAUCAGUUGCUGCUGCUUAUAAUCGUUUAGUAAUCACAUCCAUCAAUCCAUCUGAAUCCCAUCAAGAACCAGAUCCUGAUGAUUCUAUGGAACUUAUUGAGCAAAAUUACGAACCUGACCCUGAUGCUUCUAUUGAUAUCAUUGAACAAAAUUAUGAACCUGACCCUGAUGCUUCUAUUGAUAUCAUUGAACAAAAUUACGAACCUGACCCUGAUGCUUCUAUUGCUAUCAUUGAACAAAAUUACGAACCUGACCCUGAUGAAAAUGAAGUGGUUCAAAAACAAGAACCUGAUCCAGAUGAUAGUGUAAAUGAACCUAUGGAGUCUGAAAUCAGAAUUACUUGUGAAAAAAUUGAGGGGAAUUUUAAUUUUGUUUCUGAAAAUGAAAUGAAGAUGGAAAGCAAUGAAUUUGAGCCAGAUCCUGAUGAUGAAGAGCUUCAAAGAAUUCAAGAUCCUGUAAUGGUGGCAUGUAAUCGAUUGAAAAAGUCGAUUCAG